UACGUAGGGUGCGAGCGUUGUCCGGAAUUAUUGGGCGUAAAGAGCUCGUAGGCGGUUUGUCACGUCUGCUGUGAAAUCCCGAGGCUCAACCUCGGGCCUGCAGUGGGUACGGGCAGACUGGAGUGCGGUAGGGGAGAAUGGAAUUCCUGGUGUAGCGGUGGAAUGCGCAGAUAUCAGGAGGAACACCGAUGGCGAAGGCAGUUCUCUGGGCCGUAACUGACGCUGAGGCGCGAAAGCAUGGGGAGCGAACGGG
rnacentral:rRNA from 1 species